AGUGAACGCUGGCGGUAGGCCUAACACAUGCAAGUCGAACGGCAGCACAGUAAGAGCUUGCUCUUACGGGUGGCGAGUGGCGGACGGGUGAGGAAUACAUCGGAAUCUACUUUUUCGUGGGGGAUAACGUAGGGAAACUUACGCUAAUACCGCAUACGACCUACGGGUGAAAGCAGGGGAUCUUCGGACCUUGCGCGAUUGAAUGAGCGGAUGUCGGAUUAGCUAGUUGGCGGGGUAAAGGCCAACCAAGGCGACGAUCCGUAGCUGGUCUGAGAGGAUGGUCAGCCGCACUGGAGCUGAGACACGGUCCAGACUCCUACGGGAGGCAGCAGUGGGGAAUAUUGGACAAUGGGCGCAAGCCUGAUCCAGCCAUACCGCGUGUGUUAAGAAGGCCUUCGGGUUGUAAAGCCCUUUUGUUGGGAAAGAAAAGCAGCAGGUUAAUACCCCGCUGUUCUGACGGUACCCAAAGAAUAAGCACCGGCUAACUUCGUG
rnacentral:rRNA from 1 species